GAUGAACGCUGGCGGCGUGCCUAAUACAUGCAAGUCGAGCGAAUGGAUUAAGAGCUUGCUCUUAUGAAGUUAGCGGCGGACGGGUGAGUAACACGUGGGUAACCUGCCCAUAAGACUGGGAUAACUCCGGGAAACCGGGGCUAAUACCGGAUAGCAUUUUGAACCGCAUGGUUCGAAAUUGAAAGGCGGCUUCGGCUGUCACUUAUGGAUGGACCCGCGUCGCAUUAGCUAGUUGGUGAGGUAACGGCUCACCAAGGCAAAGAUGCGUAGCCGACCUGAGAGGGUGAUCGGCCACACUGGGACUGAGACACGGCCCAGACUCCUACGGGAGGCAGCAGUAGGGAAUCUUCCGCAAUGGACGAAAGUCUGACGGAGCAACGCCGCGUGAGUGAUGAAGGCUUUCGGGUCGUAAAACUCUGUUGUUAGGGAAGAACAAGUGCUAGUUGAAUAAGCUGGCACCUUGACGGUACCUAACCAGAAAGCCACGGCUAACUACGUGCCAGCCGCCGCGGUAA
rnacentral:rRNA from 1 species